GUGGGAUCUUAGUUCUCUGACCAGGUAUUGAACCCACACCCCUUGCACUGGAAGCACAGAGUCUCAACCACUAGACCACCAGGGAAGUCCCAAGAGGCCAGGCUGUCCUUUGUGGAAGGAAGACGGCUUUCAGCGUGGCUGGGACUGGUUAUCUGUGUGGCCUUCGGUGGUCUUAUGAGUAAAGUGCAAAAAAAAAAAAAGAAAGCCUUCUAAGAUGAGACCCAUCAAUUUCAAUGCUACAAUAUUUAGAGUUGUUCCUCACUAAGGAAGAAGUUGGCUUAAUUUCCAGGCAAAGAUAAGCUCCUUGAAGGUAGGUGUUAUACUUUUUUAUGGAUUCCAGCAAGUACUCAGUGCCUAGAUGAAUGAGAGUUUUAAACAUAAGUAUAAUG